CCAAUAGCGUAUAUUAAAGUUGUUGCAGUUAAAAAGCUCGUAGUUGAAUUUCGGGGUUAGCAGGUCGGUCGUGCCAUUGGUAUGAACUGGUCUCGCUGAUCCCUCCCUCUUGACGAACUGUGAUGCCAUUAAUUUGGUGUCGCAGGGAAUCAGGACUGUUACUUUGAAAAAAUUAGAGUGUUUAAAGCAGGCUUUCGCUUGAAUACAUUAGCAUGGAAUAAUGAAAUAGGACGUUUGAUCUUAUUUUGUUGGUUUCUAGGAUUGACGUAAUGAUUAAUAGGGAUAGUUGGGGGCAUUAGUAUUCAAUUGUCAGAGGUGAAAUUCUUGGAUUUAUUGAAGACUAACUACUGCGAAAGCAUUUGCCAAGGAUGUUUUCAUUAAUCAAGAACGAAAGUUAGGGGAUCGAAGACGAUCAGAUACCGUCGUAGUCUUAACCAUAAACUAUGCCGACUAGGGAUCGGAUGAUGUUAAUUUUUUAAUGACUCAUUCGGCGCCUUACG
rnacentral:misc_RNA from 1 species